GUUCUUGGAUGACAUAGAGAAAUGGCCAGUGCAAACAACAUGACUAAUCGAAUCUUUACCUUUUUCCAAGUUCAUGUUGAUUUCUUCAUUUUUAGCAUUAGGAACAUCCUUCUUAUGGAGCUUAACACUUGCUGCAGUUUUUCCCGUCUCAAGCUUCUUCACCACGCGCCCGUGGAUAUCUUGAGAAGCUUGAUGCUCAUCCAAGAGUUGGCUUUCUUUUGAGCAACCAGGGUUAGCACAUGGUGAUAUAUUAUCUAGAUGUGCACGUGUGCAAGAAUGAGGUUCAUAUGAAUUUAGGUUUGCAACUACAACCUCAUGAGCAAUAUCAAGCAUGAUAUGUCUAUCCAAAAGAUUAUCAUGAUAAUAAGACAAUAUAUCAUAUUUUUCAGUAAGAGCAAGUUUAUCAUGAUUUAGCAA